AACGAACGCUGGCGGCGCGCCUAAUACAUGCAAGUCGAGCGAGAAGACGUAGCAAUACGUUUGUAAAGCGGCGAACGGGUGAGGAAUACAUGGGUAACCUACCCUCGAGUGGGGAAUAACUAGCCGAAAGGUUAGCUAAUACCGCGUACGCUCCUUGGACUUCGGUUCAGGGAGGAAAGCGAUACCGUGGGUAUCGCGCUCUUGGAUGGGCUCAUGUCCUAUCAGCUUGUUGGCGAGGUAACGGCUCACCAAGGCUUCGACGGGUAGCUGGUCUGAGAGGACAAUCAGCCACACUGGCACUGCGACACGGGCCAGACUCCUACGGGAGGCAGCAGUAAGGAAUAUUGCGCAAUGGGCGAAAGCCUGACGCAGCGACGCCGCGUGGGGGA
rnacentral:rRNA from 1 species